rnacentral:tRNA from 1 species
UGGGACGUGGCUCAGUUGGUAGAGUGCUUGCCUAGCAUGCAUGAAAUCCUGGGCUCCAUCUCUAGCAUUUCAU